rnacentral:rRNA from 1 species
UGGGCAACCUACCCUUGACUCUGGGAUAACUCCGGGGAAAACCGGAGCUAAUACCGGAUAUGAACACGAAGGACAUCCUUUGUGUUGGAAAGUUUUUCGGUCAGGGAUGGGCCCGCGGCCUAUCAGCUUGUUGGUGGGGUAAUGGCCCACCAAGGCGACGACGGGUAGCCGGCCUGAGAGGGCGACCGGCCACACUGGGACUGAGACACGGCCCAGACUCCUACGGGAGCA